rnacentral:rRNA from 1 species
UACGGGGGAUGCAAGCGUUAUCCGAAAUCAUUGGGCGUAAAGCGCCUGUAGGUUGUUUAUUAAGUCCGUUGUUAAAGCCUAGGGCUUAACCCCAGAAAAGCAAUGGAAACUAAUAGACUAGAGUAUGGUAGGGGUAGAGGGAAUUUCUAGUGUAGCGGUGAAAUGCGUAGAUAUUAGAAAGAACACCAGUGGCGAAAGCGCUCUACUGGACCAUUACUGACACUCAGAGGCGAAAGCUAGGGUAGCAAAAGGGAUUAGAUACCCCUGUAGUCCUAGCCGUAAACGAUGGAUACUAGAUGUUGUGCUUAUAGUACAGUAUCGUAGCUAACGCGUUAAGUAUCCCGCCUGGGGAGUACGCUCGCAAGGGUG